rnacentral:rRNA from 1 species
UGGGGAAUAUUGGACAAUGGGCGAAAGCCUGAUCCAGCCAUGCCGCGUGUGUGAAGAAGGUCUUCGGAUUGUAAAGCACUUUAAGUUGGGAGGAAGGGCAUUAACCUAAUACGUUAGUGUUUUGACGUUACCGACAGAAUAAGCACCGGCUAACUCUGUGCCAGCAGCCGCGGUAAUACAGAGGGUGCAAGCGUUAAUCGGAAUUACUGGGCGUAAAGCGCGCGUAGGUGGUUUGUUAAGUUGGAUGUGAAAUCCCCGGGCUCAACCUGGGAACUGCAUUCAAAACUGACUGACUAGAGUAUGGUAGAGGGUGGUGGAAUUUCCUGUGUAGCGGUGAAAUGCGUAGAUAUAGGAAGGAACACCAGUGGCGAAGGCGACCACCUGGACUAAUACUGACACUGAGGUGCGAAAGCGUGGGGAGGAAACA